rnacentral:rRNA from 1 species
AUUGAACGCUGGCGGCAGGCCUAACACAUGCAAGUCGAACGGCAGCACAGAAGAGCUUGCUCUUUGGGUGGCGAGUGGCGGACGGGUGAGUAAUGUCUGGGAAACUGCCCGAUGGAGGGGGAUAACUACUGGAAACGGUAGCUAAUACCGCAUAACGUCGCAAGACCAAAGUGGGGGACCUUCGGGCCUCACACCAUCGGAUGUGCCCAGAUGGGAUUAGCUAGUAGGUGGGGUAAUGGCUCACCUAGGCGACGAUCCCUAGCUGGUCUGAGGGGAUGACCAGCCACACUGGAACUGGAACACGGUCCAGACUCCUGCGGGAGGCAGCAGUGGGGAAUAUUGCACAAUGGGCGCAAGCCUGAUGCAGCCAUGCCGCGUGUAUGAAGAAGGCCUUCGGGUUGUAAAGUACUUUCAGCGGGGAGGAAGGCGGUGAGGUUAAUAACCUCGCCAAUUGACGUUACCCGCAGAAGAAGCACCGGCUAACUCCGUGCCAGCCGCCGCAGUAA